rnacentral:rRNA from 1 species
AUGAUGAAUUUACAUCCUCUCCCGUGCUAUGAAUAUUUGGUCUUCAAUGGUACUUAUGAUGAGCUAGUAGACAACGUGUCUUUGGGGGUCUAUGAUGGUGCAGUAGGCGAUGUGACCAUAACGGCUGAACGAGUCACCACCACCGACUUUACAAUGCCAUACACACAGUCUGGUGUGUCUAUGCUUGUGCUUGCCGAGGAUGAACCGGAUACAAUCCGCUGGACAUUUGUAAAGCCACUAACUCGGAAGCUCUGGUUGGCAACCGUGGUCUUUUUCUUCUAUACUGGCUUUGUCGUGUGGAUGAUUGAACUACCUAGAAAUCAGGAGUACCAAGGAUCAAGUUUGAGACAGUGUAGCACCGCCCUCUACUUUGUUUUCUCCACUUUGACAUUUUCUCAUGGUCAUACUAUUAAAAGCCCCUUGUCAAAAAUUGUUGUGGUGAUAUGGUGCUUUGUAGUGCUGAUUCUUGUCCAGAGCUACACAGCAAGCCUGUCAUCCAUUUUGACUGCAAAGAGACUCCGUCCUUGGAUGACAGAUUUUGACCAACUCCGGCACAGUGGUGACUUUGUAGGAUACCAAGAUGAUUCAUUUGUGCGGUCGUUCUUGAUGAAUCAUAACAUCAGUGAAAGCAGGUUAAGGAACUACACCACGAAAGAAGAAUAUGCUGAUGCUUUGUGGAAGGGGUCCAAUAAUGGAGGGGUGUCAGCUAUCGUCGAUGAGAUCCCCUAUUUGACUUCUUUCCUCUCAGACCGUCGGUAUGGAAAUGAUUUUAGGAUGCUCGGGUGCAUUUACAAGACUCCUGGAUUUGGUUUUGCAUUUAAUCUAGGUUCUCCGCUAGUUCAUAAUCUUUCGACUGCCAUCCUGAACCUAGCAGGAGGGGAUGAGGGAUCACGAAUCGAAGUGAAAUGGUUUGGCACAAAUUCAUCGCCGAUACGUGCUGGCACAAUCCCAGACACUGAUUCCGCGCCUCUCACUUUAGAAAGUUUCUCUGGUCUCUUCGUCAUCACGGGAUCCAUUUCAACUCUCAUGUUGCUGAUAAGCAUUAUGAGAUUUAUUUAUGCCAAAUGCAUUGAGUUGAGAAGGGCUGAUGUGGAAAGUGUCAGCUACACUGGCACCGACGAUGACGAUGAGUCUCGUCUGUUGCAGAAUGGCAUAGGUGGCAACCCUAGCCCUGAUCAACAACCAUUACAUGAAGCUGGCAAUAAUCAUUCCGGGGGUGUCCAUAUGAGUGGCGAAAAUGCUGGGGACACAGAGCCUGAUCCAGUGCAGCAGAAUGGCAUGCAUGGUGGCUCUGUCCCUGCAGGACACACUCAGAUUGAGAUGUGCGAUGUCUAA